GGCAACACAGAGGAUCCCUCAGCCGUAUUUUAGUAGCAGCAAAUAACCACUCAGAUGCAGCAUUAAUCCGUUACCUGGGACUCCCAGUACAUCAAAGAGGAUAACACUAAUCGUGGACCAGAAAGCAGAUCCUUCCUUUUCAGCAGAUUAUGCUUUAGUUUUCUGAGGUUUUUCUGGGAGUCAGUUUCCUCUUGUUUUUACACAAAGACAGAGAAAUUUGUGCCUCUGAGAAGAACGGACCACGUGAAUUACAGUAGGAAAGAAAAUCUAAGGCUUAAAUGUUCAUGAAUAAAAUAUUGUUAGAAAAAUAAAUGUGGAAAAAAACCCUAAGUUGAACAGAAAUGGUCUAAAAGUGGCCUUCCAGGAAGGUCAAAAUGUCUACUGUCAGAGAAGAAAUAUGCAGUGGUCAGAGCUGCCACUAUGCCAGUCCCAGUAUUGCACAGCUCCUGCUUGUUGUUCUCAGAAACCCAAUCCGAGCUGUCUCAAGGACCACUAUAGUAUAUAUCCACAGUUUACUUCAGAGUGUCCUGAUGUGAAUAUACAUUUGCAGCAGUCUAUAAAAAUUAAGUAUUCAGUGGUUGUGAACAGUUCAGUGAAAUAUCCUAUAUCAGAAGAGCAGUAAGAUCAUCUUUUUUUUCCUUGUUUGAAGCCUAAUACUACUUCUUGCAAUCAUAUUAUGUUGUAUGCUGUUGUAUGCAUGUUCUGCAAGAUAAGGUUCAUGAUCCUCUAAACAACUGUUCAGUUUUUCUUCGAAUUCAGACAAGAGGUCUGAUAUUUCACUCAGCUGCUAGGAAUUCCUGACUUCUCAGCAAUAUUAAGGAUAAUGUUUUGUGUGUCAUGCUGGGGCAGCUGACAUCACUUCUCCAACACUUGAAUACAUGGUGUGAUGUUUAAUUUUCUUUUUAAAAUCACUGUUGUGUAUUUUGGGGGUCUUGAAUUAGAAAUUGCUGUUAAAUAAAAUGGGAGCAUUCUAUAUUUAGUUAUCCCUGAAAUUCUAUGGACUAUCUUGUCUCAGUUGCCACUGAGGAAGGCUUCUUGCAGACUUUGUAGCAUUAAGGUGCAUUUGAAAAUGCUUAUUGAAUACUGUCAGUAGCCAAAGGGUACAACACAAGAAGAUACCUUUCCAGAGGACAGGUGGCAGCAGCUGUUACUUUAUUCUGAUCACCCUAAGAUGCUGUUGAACAAUUUGAUUAUCCAUUUUAAUGAUAAAAUAUUAAUUCUUGUAUAUUAGUGAUAAAAAUCCUCCAGCAGUAUGUCUUCACUGAAAGUAUGAGCCAUAGAGCAAUAUCACAAGAAGACUCGUUUGUUUGAUUUCUCUUUACUGUGCUAAACAUCACACCCUGUACUCACCUUUGUCUAAAACCUGUGUGAGUGAAAUUUUAGUGCUACUGAAAUCAAAGACGAAACUCCUGCUGAUGUUGUUGGGCCAGAGCCUUAGGAGUCCUAACCAAGUCACAAAGAGCCACAGGAAUGUUCCCUUUUCUAAACCAUCUAACAGAAAUUAUGAAUCAUGAUGGAAAGAGAACAGAUAGGGCAAUCUAUCCAAAAGAGGCACGGAAGUCAGUGCAUCUAUAAUCAGAGGCAUCUCAGCAAGCUUACAAGGCAUGAGGUCAGCUGCAUACCUUGGUAAAAUUCAGAGCUAUUAAGUCUUUUUUAUGAUUCUUCAUAACCUACUUAC